rnacentral:rRNA from 1 species
CAGUCUGCAACUCGACUGCACGAAGCUGGAAUCGCUAGUAAUCGCGGAUCAGCACGCCGCGGUGAAUACGUUCCCGGGCCUUGUACACACCGCCCGUCACACCAUGGAAGUCUGCAAUGCCCGAAGCCGGUGGCCUAACCACUUAUGUGGAAGGAGCCGUCUAAGGCAGGGCAGAUNACUGGGGUGAAGUCGUAACAAGGUAUC